rnacentral:tRNA from 1 species
AUGAAGCUCAGUGGUUGAGUUGUCCUUUGUUAAAGGGGUGAUCGCAGGUUCGAGUCCUGCCGU